UCACUACACGACGCUCUUUCGAUCUGUAAGUAUGUCGAAGAAGACCUGCUAGGAUAAGAGCUAAGCAUGUCGUUCUGCAAUUCGUAUGUGUCCGUAAAUGUUAAUAAAGCCAGUUCACGAAACAAAGGCUGGAUAGUUCAUGAUGACUAACCCGGAAG